CCUACGGGAGACAGCAGUGGGGAAUAUUGGGCAAUGGGCGCAAGCCUGACCCAGCAACGCCGCGUGAAGGAAGAAGGCUUUCGGGUUGUAAACUUCUUUUCUCAGGGACGAAGAAAGUGACGGUACCUGAGGAAUAAGCCACGGCUAACUACGUGCCAGCAGCCGCGGUAAUACGUAGGUGGCAAGCGUUAUCCGGAUUUACUGGGUGUAAAGGGCGUGUAGGCGGGACUGCAAGUCAGAUGUGAAAACCACGGGCUCAACCUGUGGCCUGCAUUUGAAACUGUAGUGCUUGAGUACUGGGGAGGCAGACGGAAUUCCUAGUGUAGCGGUGAAAUGCGUAGAUAUUAGGAGGAACACCAGUGGCGAAGGCGGUCUGCUGGACAGCAACUGACGCUGAGGCGCGAAAGCGUGGGGAGCAAACAGGAUUAGAUACCCUUGUAGUC
rnacentral:rRNA from 1 species